UAGGGAAUCUUCCACAAUGGACGAAAGUCUGAUGGAGCAACGCCGCGUGAGUGAAGAAGGUUUUCGGAUCGUAAAGCUCUGUUGUUGGUGAAGAAGGAUAGAGGCAGUAACUGGUCUUUAUUUGACGGUAAUCAACCAGAAAGUCACGGCUAACUACCUGCCAG
rnacentral:rRNA from 1 species